GUUGCUCGAAUGCGAAUGAAUCACACACCUCUCCGUGGUGAGCAGCAGGCAAUGAAGUUAUAUCAUAAAAUUUUUAA
rnacentral:ribozyme from 1 species